CUGCUGCCUUCCGUAGGAGUUUGGGCCGUGUCUCAGUCCCAAUGUGGCCGAUCAACCUCUCAGUUCGGCUACGCAUCAUUGCCUUGGUAAGCCUUUACCCCACCAACUAGCUAAUGCGCCGCGGGCCCAUCCAAAAGCGGUAGCAUAGCCACCUUUUACAUAGCUACCAUGCGGUAACUAUGGUUAUGCGGUAUUAGCACCUGUUUCCAAGUGUUAUCCCCCUCCUUUGGGCAGGUUGCCCACGUGUUACUCACCCGUUCG
rnacentral:rRNA from 1 species